rnacentral:miRNA from 1 species
UUCCAUGUCACAGAGAUGUUG